UUAAGGCAUCAGGUUCCUGCGGGAACCUAAGUCGAUUUAAACCCCCAUACCUGGGAUCCCAAACUGGAAGGCAAAGCAACUAACCCCGAGCGUUUGUGGUCUCCUUUCAGAUGCAGAGGUGGACUAGUCUCCUGUUUCUAUCUUUGAUCUUUUGCGCCACCCUCUCAGAGACCUUUGGACUCGUUUUAUCAGCAAAAGAAAAAAGGGGCUGGACUUUGAAUAGUGCUGGUUACCUACUUGGGCCACAUGCAGUAGAUAAUCACAGAUCUUUUAUUGACAAACAUGGCCUAGCUGGUAAACGUGAGAUACAGCCUGAAGAGGAUAUAAAAAUAGGUAAUGAAAUUAUGAAAGCCAAGAAUUUAUGCUUCUGU